rnacentral:lncRNA from 1 species
UAGCGGUGGUGCUGUUCGUGCUGUUAUCACCAGGGCUGCUGUUCCAGUUACCCGGCCGUGGAAAAGUGGUGGAGUUCGGUGGUAUGCAAACGAGCGGUGCAGCCAUUCUGGUCCACACAGUCAUUUACUUCGGCCUUAUCACCAUCCUCCUCAUUGCCGUUGGCGUCCAUGUCUACACCGGCUAAGUAUACACCGGCUAAGCUCUACUGGAUCUCUGCUCGGAUCAGAAAUUUUUAUUUUAUUACUCUCUAGUUAAGGUGUAAUUUUUCUUUGGUCAAGAAUUGUUAAGUAUGGUGAUGGUUCAUGGAUAUAUAUUUGCCUUUUGAUUUUCCAACUUGCUCAGCAGAUUGUACAAGUAAGAUAAUCUGGUUGUUGAUUUUCUUCGAUUAGGUGUAUAUGGGGUGUUUUGCGUUAUCUACUACUUCAGCUACUAAAUUAUACAGUACUCGCUAUCUCUAGGAGCGGUGUAGCCAUUUUGGUCCACACCGUCAUUUACUUCGGCCUUAUCACCAUCCUCCUCAUUGCCGUUGGCGUCCAUGUCUACACCGGCUAAGUAUACCCCAACUUCACUUGACUAAGCUCUACUAUAAGUGUCUGCUCGGAUCAGAAAUUUUUAUUUUGUUGUUCUCUAAUUAAGGUGUACUUUUUCUUUGUUCAAGAAUUGUUAAAGUAUGGUGAUGGUUCAUCGAUAUUUGCUUUUUAAUUUUCAAAUUUGCUAAGCAGAUUAUACUAGUAAAGAUAAUCUGGUUGUUGAUUUUCUUCGAUUAGUUGUAUAUGGGGUAUUUUGCGUUAUCUGCUACUUCAGCUACUAAAUUAUACAGUACUCGCUAUGUAGAAUCUUUGAAUGUUCAAUAUCAUUAAUAAUGAUUCUGCCUCCCCCACCCCCACAAAAAAAAGAGAGAAAAGGGA